CUCCACCUGCAUAUGCACAACCACCACCGCCGCCAACAUAUUCUCCUCCUCCACCUGCAUACUCCCCUCCUCCCCCUGUAUAUGCACAACCACCACCACCUCCACCAACAUACUCACCUCCUCCACCUGUAUACUCACCACCACCACCAUCACCAAUUUACUCGCCUCCACCUCCCCAAGUGCAGCUACCACCACCGACUUUCUCUCCUCCUCCUCAUAGGCAGCCACGACCACCUACACCUACACCUACUUAUGGCCAACCACCAUCACCACCGACUUUCUCUCCUCCUCCGCCAAGACGAAUUCACUUGCCGCCUCCUCCUCAUAGGCAACCACGACCACCUACACCUACACCUACUUAUGGCCAACCACCACCACCACCACCUCCACCAACAUACUCACCUCCUCCACCUAUAUACUCACCACCACCACCAUUACCAAUUUACUCGCCUCCACCUCCCCAAGUGCAGCCACCACCACCGACUUUCUCUCCUCCUCCGCCAAGACGAAUUCACUCGCCUCCUCCUCCUCAUAGGCAGCCACGACCACCUACACCUACACCUACUUAUGGCCAACCACCAUCACCACCGACUUUCUCUCCUCCUCCGCCAAGACGAAUUCACUUGCCUCCUCCUCCUCAUAGGCAGCCACGGCCACCUACACCCACACCUACUUAUGGUCAACCACCAUCACCACCGACUUUCUCUCCUCCUCCGCCAAGACGAAUUCACUCGCCUCCUCCUCCUCAUAGGCAGCCACGGCCACCUACACCCACACCUACUUAUGGUCAACCACCAUCACCACCGACUUUCUCUCCUCCUCCGCCAAGACGAAUUCACUCGCCUCCUCCUCCUCAUAGGCAACCACGACCACGACCACCUACACCUACUUAUGGCCAACCACUACCACCACCACCUCCACCAACAUACUCACCUCCUCCACCUGUAUACUCACCACCACCACCAGUUGAUUUUGUUUGGGCCAACCACCACCACCAACUACAUAUUCACCCCCUUCUCCUCCUCCAUAUGGGCUUCUGCUUAGCACUCCAUAAACUCG
rnacentral:lncRNA from 1 species